rnacentral:rRNA from 1 species
GGUUAAGCGACUAAGCGUACACGGUGGAUGCCCUGGCAGUCAGAGGCGAUGAAGGGCGUGCUAAUCUGCGAUAAGCGCCGGUAAGGUGAUAUGAACCGUUAUAACCGGCGAUACCCGAAUGGGGAAACCCAGUGUGACUCGUCACACUAUCAUUAACUGAAUCCAUAGGUUAAUGAGGCGAACCGGGGGAACUGAAACAUCUAAGUACCCCGAGGAAAAGAAAUCAACCGAGAUUCCCCCAGUAGCGGCGAGCGAACGGGGAGGAGCCCAGAGCCUGAAUCAGCAUGUGUGUUAGUGGAAGCGUCUGGAAAGUCGCGCGAUACAGGGUGACAGCCCCGUACACAAAAGCGCAUGUGCUGUGAGCUCGAUGAGUAGGGCGGGACACGUGGUAUCCUGUCUGAAUAUGGGGGAAUCAUCCUCCAAGGCUAAAUACUCCUGACUGACCGAUAGUGAACCAGUACCGUGAGGGAAAGGCGAAAAGAACCCCGGCGAGGGGAGUGAAAAAGAACCUGAAACCGUGUACGUACAAGCAGUGGGAGCCCCACCACCAAAGCAUUCUCUGGUGUUGAAGGCCCUGCAAAGCAGCAUCGCGGUGGCGGAGCGUCGUUUGCGACGCCCAACACACAAAACAAGCGAUGAGUGCUUUGGGGUGGGGUGACUGCGUACCUUUUGUAUAAUGGGUCAGCGACUUAUAUUCUGUAGCAAGGUUAACCGAAUAGGGGAGCCGCAGGGAAACCGAGUCUUAAUUGGGCGUUAAGUUGCAGGGUAUAGACCCGAAACCCGGUGAUCUAGCCAUGGGCAGGUUGAAGGUUGGGUAACACUAACUGGAGGAAUCGAACCGACUAAUGUUGAAAAAUUAGCGGAUGACCUGUGGCUGGGGGUGAAAGGCCAAUCAAACCGGGAGAUAGCUGGUUCUCCCCGAAAGCUAUUUAGGUAGCGCCUCGUGAAUUCAUCUCCGGGGGUAGAGCACUGUUUCGGCUAGGGGGCCAUCCCGGCUUACCAACCCGAUGCAAACUGCGAAUACCGGAGAAUGUUAUCACGGGAGACACACGGCGGGUGCUAACGUCCGUCGUGAAGAGGGAAACAACCCAGACCGCCAGCUAAGGUCCCAAAGUCAUGGUUAAGUGGGAAACGAUGUGGGAAGGCCCAGACAGCCAGGAUGUUGGCUUAGAAGCAGCCAUCAUUUAAAGAAAGCGUAAUAGCUCACUGGUCGAGUCGGCCUGCGCGGAAGAUGUAACGGGGCUAAACCAUGCACCGAAGCUGCGGCAGCGAACGUAUCACCCAAGACAACUUUGCGGAGUUGACGAUUGACGGAGCGAAGCGACGUCAAAGCGUUCAUUAAAGUCGAGUUGGCUUAGGGAUACGUUCGUUGGGUAGGGGAGCGUUCUGUAAGCCUGUGAAGGUGGCCUGUGAGGGUUGCUGGAGGUAUCAGAAGUGCGAAUGCUGACAUAAGUAACGAUAAAGCGGGUGAAAAGCCCGCUCGCCGGAAGACCAAGGGUUCCUGUCCAACGUUAAUCGGGGCAGGGUGAGUCGACCCCUAAGGCGAGGCCGAAAGGCGUAGUCGAUGGGAAACGGGUUAAUAUUCCCGUACUUGGUGUUACUGCGAAGGGGGGACGGAGAAGGCUAUGUUGGCCGGGCGACGGUUGUCCCGGUUUAAGCGUGUAGGUGUGUGUUCCAGGUAAAUCCGGUUCACUUUAACACUGAGGCGUGAUGACGAGGCACUACGGUGCUGAAGCAACAAAUGCCCUGCUUCCAGGAAAAGCCUCUAAGCAUCAGGUAACACGAAAUCGUACCCCAAACCGACACAGGUGGUCAGGUAGAGAAUACCAAGGCGCUUGAGAGAACUCGGGUGAAGGAACUAGGCAAAAUGGUGCCGUAACUUCGGGAGAAGGCACGCUGACACGUAGGUGAAGUGAUUUACUCAUGGAGCUGAAGUCAGUCGAAGAUACCAGCUGGCUGCAACUGUUUAUUAAAAACACAGCACUGUGCAAACACGAAAGUGGACGUAUACGGUGUGACGCCUGCCCGGUGCCGGAAGGUUAAUUGAUGGGGUCAGCGCAAGCGAAGCUCCUGAUCGAAGCCCCGGUAAACGGCGGCCGUAACUAUAACGAUUCUAAGGUAGCGAAAUUCCUUGUCGGGUAAGUUCCGACCUGCACGAAUGGCGUAAUGAUGGCCAGGCUGUCUCCACCCGAGACUCAGUGAAAUUGAACUCGCUGUGAAGAUGCAGUGUACCCGCGGCAAGACGGAAAGACCCCGUGAACCUUUACUAUAGCUUGACACUGAACAUUGAGCCUUGAUGUGUAGGAUAGGUGGGAGGCUUUGAAGUGUGGACGCCAGUCUGCAUGGAGCCGACCUUGAAAUACCACCCUUUAAUGUUUGAUGUUCUAACGUGGACCCGUAAUCCGGGUUGCGGACAGUGUCUGGUGGGUAGUUUGACUGGGGCGGUCUCCUCCUAAAGAGUAACGGAGGAGCACGAAGGUUGGCUAAUCCUGGUCGGACAUCAGGAGGUUAGUGCAAUGGCAUAAGCCAGCUUGACUGCGAGCGUGACGGCGCGAGCAGGUGCGAAAGCAGGUCAUAGUGAUCCGGUGGUUCUGAAUGGAAGGGCCAUCGCUCAACGGAUAAAAGGUACUCCGGGGAUAACAGGCUGAUACCGCCCAAGAGUUCAUAUCGACGGCGGUGUUUGGCACCUCGAUGUCGGCUCAUCACAUCCUGGGGCUGAAGUAGGUCCCAAGGGUAUGGCUGUUCGCCAUUUAAAGUGGUACGCGAGCUGGGUUUAGAACGUCGUGAGACAGUUCGGUCCUAUCUGCCGUGGGCGCUGGAGAACUGAGGGGGGCUGCUCCUAGUACGAGAGGACAGGAGUGGACGCAUCACUGGUGUUCGGGUUGUCAUGCCAAUGGCACUGCCCGGUAGCUAAAUGCGGAAGAGAUAAGUGCUGAAAGCAUCUAAGCACGAAACUUGCCCCGAGAUGAGUUCUCCCUGAGACUUAGAGUCUCCUGAAGGAACGUUGAAGACGACGACGUUGAUAGGCCGGGUGUGUAAGCGCAGCGAUGCGUUGAGCUAACCGGUACUAAUGAACCGUGAGGCUUAACCUU